UUACGGUCACAUCUUGUUGAAACACUGGUUCUCGUAUGAACACCGAACUUAAGCAACGUCGAACCUGGUCAUUACCUAGAUGGGUGACCGCUUUGAAAUACCAGGUGCUGUAAG